rnacentral:snRNA from 1 species
GUGGUAAUCAAAUCAGCAGCAUGCAUACUAAAAUUGGAACAAUACAGAGAUUAGCAUGGCCCCUUUACAAAGAUGACAUACAAAGUCAUGAAGUGUUCCAUAUUUUU